UACGGAGGGUGCAAGCGUUAUCCGGAUUCACUGGGUUUAAAGGGUGCGUAGGUGGGCUAGUAAGUCCGUGGUGAAAUCUCUGAGCUUAACUCGGAAACUGCCGUGGAUACUAUUAGUCUUGAAUCUCGUGGAGGUAAGCGGAAUAUGUCAUGUAGCGGUGAAAUGCUUAGAUAUGACAUAGAACACCGAUAGCGAAGGCAGCUUGCUACACGGGUAUUGACACUGAGGCACGAAAGCGUGGGGAUCAAACAGG
rnacentral:rRNA from 1 species